AGACUUAACUCAGCUGAGAGAGCUUCGCUGGCAGCGAUGAGGUCAGGGGUUCGAUCCCGCUAAGGUCGACCA
rnacentral:tRNA from 1 species